rnacentral:rRNA from 1 species
AACGAACGCUGGCGGCAUGCCUAACACAUGCAAGUCGAACGAGACCACCGGGUCUAGUGGCGCACGGGUGCGUAACGCGUGGGAACCUGCCCUUAGGUUCGGAAUAACUCCCCGAAAGGGGUGCUAAUACCGGAUAAUGUCUGCGGACCAAAGAUAUGUCGCCUUUGGAUGGGCCCGCGUUGGAUUAGCUAGUUGGUAGGGUAAAAGCCUACCAAGGCGACGAUCCAUAGCUGGUCUGAGAGAAAGAGCAGCCACACUGGGACUGAGCCACGGCCCAGAAUCCUACGGGAAGCAGCAGUGGGGAAUAUUGGACAAUGGGCGAAGGCCUGAUCCAGCAAUGCCGCGUGAGUGAUGAAGGCGUUAGAGUUGUAAAGCUCUUUUACCCGGGAUGAUAAUGACAGUACCGGGAGAAUAAGCUCCGGCUAACUCCGUG